UACGGGGGGGGCAAGCGUUGUUCGGAAUUACUGGGCGUAAAGGGCUCGUAGGUGGCCAACUAAGUCAGACGUGAAAUCCCUCGGCUUAACCGGGGAACUGCGUCUGAUACUGGAUGGCUGGAGUAUGGGAGAGGGAUGCGGAAUUCCAGGUGUAGCGGUGAAAUGCGUAGAUAUCUGGAGGAACACCGGUGGCGAAGGCGGCAUCCUGGACCAACACUGACACUGAGGAGCGAAAGCCAGGGGAGCAAACGGG
rnacentral:rRNA from 1 species